UGACUCUGGUUUCCCUUCAAUACACGAAUAAAUCUUGAAACCUUUUACUAAAGAUUUCCGUGGAGGGGAACAAUUGAUGAGUCUAUAAUAAUUUUUUUGGUAGCGUCAAAGAAAUGGAGAA